GAUGAAGAACGUAGCGAAAUGCGAUACGUAAUGUGAAUUGCAGAAUUCAGUGAAUCAUCGAAUCUUUGAACGCAUAUUGCGCUCUCUGGUAUUCCGGAGAGCAUGCUUGUUUGAGUAUCAGUAAACACCUCAACUCCCUUUUCUUUUUUGAAAUUGGAGCUGGACUUGAGUGAUCCCAACGCUUUCUUCCAAGAAAGUGGCGGGUUGCUUGAAAUGCAGGUGCAGCUGAACUUUUCUCUGAGCUAUAAGCAUAUCUAUUUAGUCUGCCUAAAAAACAGAUUAUUACCUUUGCUGCAGCUAACAUAAAUGAGACUAGUUCUUGUGCUGACUGAUGCAGGAUUCACAGAGACAGCUUCGGCUGACUUUGUAAACUCGAUCUCAAAUCAAGUAAGACUACCCGCUGAACUUAAGCAUAUCAAUAAGCGGAGGA
rnacentral:misc_RNA from 1 species